GUAAAGGCCCUUUUCAGGGCCACCCACAACUUGAUUUAAAUUUUGU
rfam:Schistosoma mansoni, Puerto Rico, WGS project CABG01000000 data, contig: 0108